UGGGGAAUAUUGGACAAUGGGCGAAAGCCUGAUCCAGCCAUGCCGCGUGUGUGAAGAAGGUCUUCGGAUUGUAAAGCACUUUAAGCGAGGAGGAGGGUACUGGUAUUAAUACUACCAGCUACUGGACGUUACUCGCAGAAUAAGCACCGGCUAACUCUGUGCCAGCAGCCGCGGUAAUACAGAGGGUGCAAGCGUUAAUCGGAAUUACUGGGCGUAAAGCGCGCGUAGGUGGUUCGUUAAGUUGAAUGUGAAAGCCCCGGGCUCAACCUGGGAACUGCAUCCAAAACUGGCGAGCUAGAGUAGGGCAGAGGGUGGUGGAAUUUCCUGUGUAGCGGUGAAAUGCGUAGAUAUAGGAAGGAACACCAGUGGCGAAGGCGACCACCUGGGCUCAUACUGACACUGAGGUGCGAAAGCGUGGGGAGCAAACAGG
rnacentral:rRNA from 1 species